GACGAACGCUGGCGGCGUGCUUAACACAUGCAAGUCAGGGGGUGUAGCAAUACAUCACCGGCGAACGGGUGCGUAACACGUGAGCAACCUACCGAGAUGAGGGGGAUAGCCGGCCCAACGGCCGGGUAAUACCGCAUACGCUCUGUUGGAGGAGUCUCCGGCAGAGGAAACCCGCAAGGGACAUUUCGAGGGGCUCGCGGCCUAUCAGCUAGUUGGCGAGGUAACGGCUCACCAAGGCUAUGACGGGUAGCUGGUCUGAGAGGAUGGCCAGCCACAUUGGGACUGAGAAACGGCCCAGACUCCUACGGGAGGCAGCAGUGGGGAAUCUUGCGCAAUGGACGAAAGUCUGACGCAGCGACGCCGCGUGCGGGAGGAAGCUCUUCGGGGUGUAAACCGCUGUUGCCCGGGACGAAUGCCGCUUUAGAGCGGAGUGACGGUACCGGGUGAGGAAGCGCCGGCUAACUCUGUGCCAGCAGCCGCGGUAAUACAGAGGGCGCGG
rnacentral:rRNA from 1 species